rnacentral:rRNA from 1 species
AUAUAUCGGAACAUGUCCGGAAGUGGGGGAUAACGUAGCGAAAGUUACGCUAAUACCGCAUAUGCCCUAAGGGGGAAAGGGGGGGAUCGCAAGACCUCUCGCUUUCGGAGUGGCCGAUAUCAGAUUAGCUAGUUGGUGGGGUAAAGGCCUACCAAGGCAACGAUCUGUAGCUGGUCUGAGAGGACGACCAGCCACACUGGGACUGAGACACGGCCCAGACUCCUACGGGAGGCAGCAGUGGGGAAUUUUGGACAAUGGGGGCAACCCUGAUCCAGCCAUGCCGCGUGAGUGAAGAAGGCCUUCGGGUUGUAAAGCUCUUUCAGCCGGAAAGAAAUCGCACUGGAUAAUACCUUGUGUGGAUGACGGUACCGGAAGAAGAAGCACCGGCUAACUACGUGCCAGCAGCCGCGGUAAUACGUAGGGUGCGAGCGUUAAUCGGAAUUACUGGGCGUAAAGCGUGCGCAGGCGGUUUUGUAAGACAGAUGUGAAAUCCCUGGGCUUAACCUGGGAACUGCAUUUGUGACUGCAAGACUAGAGUACGGCAGAGGGGGGUAGAAUUCCACGUGUAGCAGUGAAAUGCGUAGAUAUGUGGAGGAAUACCGAUGGCGAAGGCAGCCCCCUGGGUCGAUACUGACGCUCAUGCACGAAAGCGUGGGGAGCAAACAGGAUUAGAU